GCCUUGUUAGCUCAGUUGGUAGAGCGCUGCACUGGUAACGCAGAGGUCAUGGGUUCAAAUCCCAUACAGGCCU
rnacentral:tRNA from 1 species